rnacentral:rRNA from 1 species
UUUACGGAGGAAAAGAAACUAACAAGGAUUCCCUUAGUAACGGGCGAGUGAACCGGGAAGAGCUCAAAUUUGAAAUCUGGCUGUCUUCGAUAGUCCGAGUUGUAAUCUAUAGAAGCGUUUUCCGUGCUGAACUGUGUCUAAGUCCCUUGGAACAGGGUAUCAAAGAGGGUGACAAUCCCGUACUUGACACAAUCAUCAGUGCUCUGUGAUACGCUCUCUACGAGUCGAGUUGUUUGGGAAUGCAGCUCAAAAUGGGUGGUAAAUUCCAUCUAAAGCUAAAUAUUGGCGAGAGACCGAUAGCGAACAAGUACCGUGAGGGAAAGAUGAAAAGCACUUUGGAAAGAGAGUUAAACAGUACGUGAAAUUGUUGAAAGGGAAACGAUUGAAGUCAGUCGUGUUCAUUGGAUUCAGCCGGUCUUCGGUGUACUUCCUUUGAACGGGUCAACAUCAGUUUUGCCCGGUGGAUAAAGGCAGUAGGAAUGUGGCCUCUUCGGAGGUGUUAUAGCCUAUUGUCACAUACACUGGGGGAGACUGAGGACUGCAGCUCGCCUUUUGGCCGGGGUUCGCCCACGUUCGAGCUUAGGAUGUUGACAUAAUGGCUUUAAACGACCCGUCUU